rnacentral:rRNA from 1 species
UUGGCUUAGAAGCAGCCAUACAUUCAAAGAGUGCGUAAUAGCUCACUGGUCGAGUGAUCCUGCGCCGAAAAUGUAACGGGGCUCAAGUUCGUCACCGAAGCUUUGGAAUCACGCAAGUGAUUGGUAGGGGAGCGUUCUGCACACGUAGAAGCUAUACCGUAAGGAGUAGUGGAGAGUGCAGAAGUGAGAAUGCCGGUAUGAGUAACGAAAAGGCAGGUGAGAAUCCUGCCCGCCGAAAGCCUAAGGUUUCCUGAGGAAGGUUCGUCCUCUCAGGGUAAGCCGGGACCUAAGCCGAGGCCGAAAGGCGUAGGCGAUGGAUAACAGGUUGAGAUUCCUGUGCCACCAACUCACCGUUAUGAGCAAAGGGGGGACGCAGGAGGGUAAGCUAGCCUGCUGAUGGAAUAGCAGGUCCAAACCCGCAGGACGGAUCCUAGGCAAAUCCGGGGUCCACACGUCCGAGGGGUGAUGGGGAGCGAAAUAUAGUAGCGGAAGUAGCCCAUCCCAAACUGCCAAGAAAAGCCUCUAGCCAGGUGAAUGGUGCCCGUACCGCAAACCGACACAGGUAGGCGAGAAGAGAAUUCUAAGGCGCGCGAGAGAACCCUUGUUAAGGAACUCGGCAAAUUGACCCUGUAACUUCGGAAGAAAGGGUGCCCUGUUAUUGUGAAGGAGCUAGCCUCCUGAGCAAGAGAGGGUUGCAGUGAAACGGCCCAAGCGACUGUUUAGCAAAAACACAGGUCUCUGCUAAGUCGAAAGACGAUGUAUAGGGGCUGACGCCUGCCCGGUGCUGGAAGGUUAAGGGGAAGGGUUAGCUUAAUUGCGAAGCUCUGAACUGAAGCCCCAGUGAACGGCGGCCGUAACUAUAACGGUCCUAAGGUAGCGAAAUUCCUUGUCGGGUAAGUUCCGACCCGCACGAAUGGCGUAACGACUUGGGCGCUGUCUCAACAAGGGACUCGGUGAAAUUGAACUACCCGUGAAGAUGCGGGUUACCCGCGACAAGACGGAAAGACCCCAUGGAGCUUUACUGUAACCUGAUAUUGGACUUUGGUGCUGGAUGUACAGGAUAGGUGGGAGGCUGAGAACUGAUGGCGUCAGCUGUCAGGGAGCCAACGGUGGGAUACCACUCUUCCGGUACUGGAGUUCUAACUGCAACCCGUGAUCCGGGUGCAGAACAGUAUCUGGUGGGCAGUUUGACUGGGGCGGUCGCCUCCUAAAGAGUAACGGAGGCGCCCAAAGGU